CCUACAAUCUUAAUUAAAUUUGAUCAAAUCAAUAAAUUAAUUGAGCCAUAGAUCCGAUCAAAUUAGGAUCAUUUCUCUCUUACCGUUUAAGUCAUCUCAUAAUCUAAUCAGGCUUGACCUGACUGAAUCCAAUUCAAUCAAACUUGAUCCACACUUUAAUGCUCAAUCAAAUUGAGCUAAUUAGUGAUCUAAUUACUAAUUAAUCUUUUAUUAAUGAUAGAGUUCAAAUCUAGUGGGACUCUUCUCUAGAAUUUUCAUCCAGUGGGAUAUUUCAGUAGAGUCCCCAUCCACUGGGACUCUUCAGAUUAGCCAUG
rnacentral:lncRNA from 1 species